GAAUGUGAGGGUGAUCUGGCUGUGACAUCUGUCAGGCCAUGGUCAGGGUUGAUUUGCUGAUCUGGCUGGACAGGCUGGUGUUCCCUUCCUCCCUCACUGCUCCAUCUGCAUCCCUCCCAAAGCUGGACAAUCAGUCCAAGAGGACUGGUUCCUCAGUCCAGGGUGCAGGAGUAGCCGUGAUCCCCUGCUGGAACCUCCAAACAAGCUCUCAAGAAUCACAGAUGCUCAAGGGCUUGAGGAGCAGUGAUCCAGGCCAAGACCAAUGA
rnacentral:snRNA from 1 species